UAAUAAGUGUUUUAUGGCACUUUUUUAAAUCCAUAUCCACCUUGUGUGCAAUGUCAGUCGAUCUUCUUCAUGGAGAUCGACCACAAACAUCAACCUUUAUCUUUUAACUCUUUGUCUGAAAAAUAUUAUGAAUAAACAAUUCAAAAUAC
rnacentral:misc_RNA from 1 species